UACGUAGGGUCCGAGCGUUGUCCGGAUUCAUUGGGCGUAAAGAGCUCGUAGGCGGCUCAGUAAGUCGGAUGUGAAAACUCAGGGCUCAACCCGGAGACGCCAUCCGAUACUGCUGUGGCUUGAGUCUGGUAGGGGAACACGGAAUACCUGGUGUAGCGGUGAAAUGCGCAGAUAUCAGGUGGAACACCGAUGGCGAAGGCAGUGUUCUGGGCCAGUACUGACGCUGAGGAGCGAAAGCGUGGGGAGCAAACAGGAUUAGAAACCCCCGUAGUCC
rnacentral:rRNA from 1 species